UACGUAGGGUGCAAGCGUUAUCCGGAAUUAUUGGGCGUAAAGAGCUCGUAGGCGGUUUGUCGCGUCUGCUGUGAAAACUGGGGGCUCAACCCCCAGCCUGCAGUGGGUACGGGCAGACUAGAGUGCGGUAGGGGAGGUUGGAAUUCCUGGUGUAGCGGUGGAAUGCGCAGAUAUCAGGAGGAACACCGAUGGCGAAGGCAGAUCUCUGGGCCGUAACUGACGCUGAGGAGCGAAAGCAUGGGGAGCGAACAGG
rnacentral:rRNA from 1 species